GAGCAGCGUCGUGUCGCGGUCCGGGACUGUCCUCAGUCCCGGGUCGUCUCGGCGCGGUUCCGAGCGGUCGCUCCCUCGCGAGGUGCCGCGGGUCAGCGGCUGACGCCAGCCACCUUCCCGACCCGUCUUGAAACACGGACCAAGGAGUCUAACAUGUGCGCGAGCCGCGGGGCAGUACGAAACCCGUAAGGCGAAAUGAAGGUGAACGCCGGCGCGGUCCGGCGGAGGUUGGAUCCCGUCCCGUCGGGGCGGGCGCACUACCGGCCGAUCUUCUCCGCCCUGUCGGCGAGGUCGAGCGAGAGCGUGCAAGUCGGGACCCGAAAGAUGGUGAACUAUGCCUGAGGAGGUUGAAGCCAGAGGAAACUCUGGUGGAGGACCGUAGCGAUUCUGACGUGCAAAUCGAUCGUCAAAUUUGGGUAUAGGGGCGAAAGACUAAUCGAACCGUCUAGUAGCUGGUUCCCUUCGAAGUUUCCCUCAGGAUAGCUGGCGCUCUGUCGCAGUUUUAUCUGGUAAAGCGAAUGAUUAGAGGUCUUGGGGGCGAAACGCCCUCAACCUAUUCUCAAACUUUAAAUUGGUAAGAAGCCCGACUCGCUCGUUUGGAGCCGGGCAUGGAAUGCGAGUGCCAAGUGGGCCACUCUUGGUAGCAGGGACUGGCGAUGCGGGAUGAACCGAACGCCGGGUUAGGGCGCCCGACGCGACGCUCAUCGGAGCCCACAAAAGGGUGUUGGUU
rnacentral:ncRNA from 1 species